GUUAAGCGACUAAGCGUACACGGUGGAUGCCCUGGCAGUCAGAGGCGAUGAAGGGCGUGCUAAUCUGCGAUAAGCGCCGGUAAGGUGAUAUGAACCGUUAUAACCGGCGAUACCCGAAUGGGGAAACCCAGUGUGAUUCGUCACACUAUCAUUAACUGAAUCCAUAGGUUAAUGAGGCGAACCGGGGGAACUGAAACAUCUAAGUACCCCGAGGAAAAGAAAUCAACCGAGAUUCCCCCAGUAGCGGCGAGCGAACGGGGAGGAGCCCAGAGCCUGAAUCAGCAUGUGUGUUAGUGGAAGCGUCUGGAAAGGCGCGCGAUACAGGGUGACAGCCCCGUACACAAAAGCGCAUGUGCUGUGAGCUCGAUGAGUAGGGCGGGACACGUGGUAUCCUGUCUGAAUAUGGGGGGACCAUCCUCCAAGGCUAAAUACUCCUGACUGACCGAUAGUGAACCAGUACCGUGAGGGAAAGGCGAAAAGAACCCCGGCGAGGGGAGUGAAAAAGAACCUGAAACCGUGUACGUACAAGCAGUGGGAGCCCCACCACUAAGCCAGUGGUGAACUCCACAUACGCAUCCUUUGCUGAGGAUACGGUUAACGGAGCGAAAGCGACGUUCAACCGCAAAAGAAGCAGAGGGGGCUUAGUGGUGGGGUGACUGCGUACCUUUUGUAUAAUGGGUCAGCGACUUAUAUUCUGUAGCAAGGUUAACCGUAUAGGGGAGCCGGAGGGAAACCGAGUCUUAACCGGGCGUUAAGUUGCAGGGUAUAGACCCGAAACCCGGUGAUCUAGCCAUGGGCAGGUUGAAGGUUGGGUAACACUAACUGGAGGACCGAACCGACUAAUGUUGAAAAAUUAGCGGAUGACCUGUGGCUGGGGGUGAAAGGCCAAUCAAACCGGGAGAUAGCUGGUUCUCCCCGAAAGCUAUUUAGGUAGCGCCUCGUGAA
rnacentral:rRNA from 1 species